rnacentral:tRNA from 1 species
GGAGGUGAUUGGCGGCUGGUGCCGCUCCUGGUCUUCAAAACCAGCGUGGGGCUUGAACAAGUCCCGGGUGGGUUCGAUUCCCAUUCGCCUCCGCCA